UUUCCGUAGGUGAACCUGCGGAAGGAUCAUUAAUGAAAAUUAGGGGGGAGUUGAGCUGGUUUUACAAGUGCUCGCUUUUCCCGUUUUCUCCAAACACACACCUGUGAACCUUGGAAAAUGAGCUCUCGCGUGCUCUUUUCCUUAUUAACAAACCCCAAUUUUUAACUAUGAACGUGAUAACUAUUGUACCGCAAGGUCGAUAAUCAAAUAUACAACUUUUAACAACGGAUCUCUUGGCUCUCGCAUCGAUGAAGAACGCAGC
rnacentral:misc_RNA from 1 species